rnacentral:rRNA from 1 species
UCGCCCUUGGAUCCAGACUUUGAUCCUGGCUCAGGAUGAACGCUAGCUACAGGCUUAACACAUGCAAGUCGAGGGGCAGCAUGUUGGUUGCUUGCAAUCAACGAUGGCGACCGGCGCACGGGUGAGUAACGCGUAUCGAACCUGCCUCAUACUCGGGAAUAGCCUUGCGAAAGUAAGAUUAAUGCCCGAUGUUCUUCAUUUUUCACAUGAGAGAUGAAGCAAAGAUUUAUCGGUAUGAGAUGGCGAUGCGUCCCAUUAGCUUGUUGGCGGGGUAACGGCCCACCAAGGCAUCGAUGGGUAGGGGUUCUGAGAGGAAGGUCCCCCACAUUGGGACUGAGACACGGUCCAAACUCCUACGGGAGGCAGCAGUGAGGAAUAUUGGUCAAUGGACGAAAGUCUGAACCAGCCAAGUAGCGUGCGGGAUGACGGCCCUCUGGGUUGUAAACUGCUUUUAGUUGGGAAUAAAGUGCACCACGUGUGGUGUUUUGUAUGUACCAUCAGAAAAAGGACCGGCUAAUUCCGUGCCAGCAGCCGCGGUAAUACGGAAGGUCCAGGCGUUAUCCGGAUUUAUUGGGUUUAAAGGGAGCGCAGGCGGACCUUUAAGUCAGCUGUGAAAUACGGCGGCUCAACCGUCGAACUGCAGUUGAUACUGGAGGUCUUGAGUGCACACAGGGAUACUGGAAUUCAUGGUGUAGCGGUGAAAUGCUCAGAUAUCAUGAAGAACUCCAAUCGCGAAGGCAGGUAUCCGGGGUGCAACUGACGCUGAGGCUCGAAAGUGCGGGUAUCAAACAGGAUUAGAUACCCUGGUAGUCCGCACAGUAAACGAUGAAUACUCGCGAUUUGCGAUACACAGUAAGUCGCCAAGCGAAAGCGUUAAGUAUUCCACCUGGGGAGUACGCCGGCAACGGUGCAAAU